UCUCGUUCAAACACUGGCUGAUCUACACAUCUCUAGAUGCUCAUUAAGUCAAUGGAUCAUCAUAUUCUAACAAAUAAAGCGUUUUAAGAAAGUAUUGAUUUGGUUCGAUUCGGCGGCGGAUGUGGCUUAGGUCACGAUCGCGAUUGACUAAAUGUAGAAAUUCUAUUAUUUGCAGUUUAGACAAGAAGGAGCUAGUCAUGGUGUAAAUCCACACCGACUUACUUUGUUUUUCAGUUCAUGUCACACCAUCAGAAAAUUAUUGCAAGUCCCAUCUCUAUAUGCUUUAAGAAGAAUUCAGGUCAAUCUUGAUGGGUAUGGGUCAAAGUUGAGAUUGGUUAGAAAGGUAUCAUCAGGAGGGAGACUUGAAGGGCCAGGUCUUGAAGAUUUGAUUCAAUAGCAUUUACGUUGCUUUGAAUAAAUUAGAACACUUGUAGGAUUAUUCAACAAUUUUGUAAAAUUCAUAGCAAUUAUAUGCAUUGUGCUGUUGCUUAGUAGACAUUUGUUUGUAAAAAUUUAGAAUGUUUGGAAGAUGAUCAUACUUUUAAAUAAAGUGAUGAUAUUAUGAUU
rnacentral:lncRNA from 1 species